CCUACGGGAGGCAGCAGUGAGGAAUAUUGGUCAAUGGACGAGAGUCUGAACCAGCCAAGUAGCGUGAAGGAUGACUGCCCUAUGGGUUGUAAACUUCUUUUAUAUGGGAAUAAAAUGUUCCACGUGUGGGAUUUUGUAUGUACCAUAUGAAUAAGGAUCGGCUAACUCCGUUCCAGCAGCCGCGGUAAUACGGAGGAUCCGAGCGUUAUCCGGAUUUAUUGGGUUUAAAGGGAGCGUAGGUGGAUUGUUAAGUCAGUUGUGAAAGUUUGCGGCUCAACCGUAAAAUUGCAGUUGAAACUGGCAGUCUUGAGUACAGUAGAGGUGGGCGGAAUUCGUGGUGUAGCGGUGAAAGGCUUAGAUAUCACGAAGAACUCCGAUUGCGAAGGCAGCUCACUGGACUGCAACUGACACUGAGGCUCGAAAGUGUGGGUAUCAAACAGGAUUAGAUACCCCAGUAGUC
rnacentral:rRNA from 1 species